rnacentral:rRNA from 1 species
AACGAACGCUGGCGGCGUGUUUAAGACAUGCAAGUCGCACGGAGUCAUUUGUGUAGCAAUACUUGAAUGGCUCAGUGGCGCACGGGUGAGUAACACGUGAAUGACAUGCCCCGCAGAGGGGGAUAGCCCAGGGAAACUUGGAUUAAUACCCCAUGGCAUCGCAGGAUUAAAGGGUGGCCGCAAGGCUGCCGCUGCGGGAUUGGUUCGCGUUCUAUCAGCUUGUUGGCGGGGUAACGGCCCACCAAGGCUACGACGGAUACCUGGUCUGAGGGGACGAUCAGGCACACUGGAACUGAGACACGGUCCAGACACCUACGGGUGGCAGCAGUCGAGAAUAAUUCACAAUGGGGGCAACCCUGAUGGUGCAACGCCGCGUGGAGGAUGAAGGUCUUCGGAUUGUAAACUCCUGUCAUCCGGGAGCAAGACCUGACGGUGAAAAGCCGGCAGGGUUGAUAGUACCGGAAGAGGAAGGGACGGCUAACUUCGUGCCAGCCGCCGCCGUAAAAC